rnacentral:rRNA from 1 species
CCUACGGGAGGCAGCAGUGAGGAAUAUUGGUCAAUGGACGAGAGUCUGAACCAGCCAAGUAGCGUGAAGGAUGACUGCCCUAUGGGUUGUAAACUUCUUUUAUAUGGGAAUAAAAUGUUCCACGUGUGGGAUUUUGUAUGUACCAUAUGAAUAAGGAUCGGCUAACUCCGUGCCAGCAGCCGCGGUAAUACGGAGGAUCCGAGCGUUAGCCGGAUUUAUUGGGUUUAAAGGGAGCGUAGGUGGAUUGUUAAGUCAGUUGUGAAAGUUUGCGGCUCAACCGUAAAAUUGCAGUUGAAACUGGCAGUCUUGAGUACAGUAGAGGUGGGCGGAAUUCGUGGUGUAGCGGUGAAAUGCUUAGAUAUCACGAAGAACUCCGAGUGCGAAGGCAGUUCACUGGACUGCAACUGACACUGAGGCUCGAAAGUGUGGGUAUCAAACAGGAUUAGAUACCCGAGUAGUC